UAGGGAAUAUUGGACAAUGGGCGAAAGCCUGAUCCAGCAAUGCCGCGUGAGUGAUGAAGGCCUUAGGGUUGUAAAGCUCUUUUACCCGGGAAGAUAAUGACUGUACCGGGAGAAUAAGCCCCGGCUAACUCCGUGCCAGCAGCCGCGGUAAUACGGAGGGGGCUAGCGUUGUUCGGAAUUACUGGGCGUAAAGCGCGCGUAGGCGGCUUUGUAAGUUAGAGGUGAAAGCCCGGGGCUCAACCCCGGAAAUGCCUUUAAGACUGCAUCGCUUGAAUCCAGGAGAGGUGAGUGGAAUUCCGAGUGUAGAGGUGAAAUUCGUAGAUAUUCGGAAGAACACCAGUGGCGAAGGCGGCUCACUGGCCUGGUAUUGACGCUGAGGUGCGAAAGCGUGGGGAGCAAACA
rnacentral:rRNA from 1 species